rnacentral:rRNA from 1 species
CAGUAGCCGCGGUAAUACGUAGGGAGCAAGCGUUGUUCGGAUUUACUGGGCGUAAAGGGCGCGUAGGCGGCGCGGUAAGUCACUUGUGAAAUCUCUGAGCUUAACUCAGAACGGCCAAGUGAUACUGCUGUGCUAGAGUGCGGAAGAGGCAACCGGAAUUCUUGGUGUAGCGGUGAAAUGCGUAGAGAUCGGGAGGAACAUCAGUGGCGAAGGCGGCCAUCUGGGACAACACUGACGCUGAGGCACGAAAGCGUGGGGAGCAAACAGGAUUAGAUACCCCCGUAGUCCCUGUCUCUUAUAC